GCCGAGGUGGUGAAAUUGGUAUACACGUACGCUUGAGGUGCGUAUGCCGAAAGGCGUGCAGGUUCAAGUCCUGUCCUCGGCA
rnacentral:tRNA from 1 species